rnacentral:rRNA from 1 species
CUACGGGUCGCUGCAGUGAGGAAUAUUGCACAAUGGGGGGAACCCUGAUGCAGCAACGCCGCGUGGAGGAUGACGCAUUUCGGUGUGUAAACUCCUUUUAUAUGUCAAGAAAGUGACGGUAGCAUAUGAAUAAGCACCGGCUAACUCCGUGCCAGCAGCCGCGGUAAUACGGAGGGUGCAAGCGUUACUCGGAAUCACUGGGCGUAAAGGACGCGUAGGCGGGUUGGAAAGUCAGGUGUGAAAUCCUACAGCUUGACUGUAGAACUGCACUUGAAACUUCUAAUCUAGAGUAUGGGAGGGGGAGAUGGAAUUAGUGGUGUAGGGGUAAAAUCCGUAGAUAUCACUAGGAGUACCUAAAGCGAAGGCGAUCUCCUGGAACAUUACUGACGCUAAGGCGUGAAAGCGUGGGGAGCAAACAGGAUUAGAUACCCCCGUAGUC